UACGUAGGGUGCAAGCGUUGUCCGGAAUUAUUGGGCGUAAAGAGCUUGUAGGCGGUUUGUCGCGUCUGCUGUGAAAUUUCGGGGCUCAACCCCGAACUUGCAGUGGGUACGGGCAGACUAGAGUGUGGUAGGGGAGACUGGAAUUCCUGGUGUAGCGGUGGAAUGCGCAGAUAUCAGGAGGAACACCUAUAGCGAAGGCAGCUCGCUGGUACGACACUGACGCUAAGGCGCGAAAGCGUGGGGAGCGAACAGG
rnacentral:rRNA from 1 species